rnacentral:rRNA from 1 species
UACGUAGGGUGCAAGCGUUGUCCGGAAUUAUUGGGCGUAAAGAGCUCGUAGGCGGUUUGUUGCGUCGGCUGUGAAAUCCCGAGGCUCAACCUCGGGUCUGCAGUCGAUACGAGCAAACUAGAGUGUUGCAGGGGAGACUGGAAUUCCUGGUGUAGCGGUGAAAUGCGCAGAUAUCAGGAGGAACACCGGUGGCGAAGGCGGGUCUCUGGGCAGUAACUGACGCUGGAG